CAGCCAUGCCCGCUCUCAGGCUUCUCUCUGGUCAAUACUGAAAAUAUAUAGUUUGUGUCACGCAAACUAUAAAUUUUCAGCGCUGGCAGUGAAUUUUGGAACACAGCCAAAGUGCUAAAUGCAAAUUUCAAGAAAGGAAAAUAUGGCUUCCCUAGCGUCGUUUUUACAGGCUUUUACCUGAAGCCGAGGUCCAGCGCACAAUACAAUGCGUCCUCGCACGGCGUCCUUUCGCGGCACGAGCAAACCGUUCGCGCAAGGAUCCUUCGGCAAGAGACAUACGAUCGCGACGGCUGCCUACGUUAUACGCGAUAUAUUAGCCCAUUGACUGCUUCCACGGAUGCUUCAGAUGCUGCCUCGAUUCUUUUGUUCAGAGCGCUGCUGUUAGAAGGGUCCCGGAAAUAGAAAGCGAUUAGUCGCGACGGAUUAACCGACUGGAUGCUCGCUGGCUGGCUGGCUCUGCGGCUGCUUGACUGGAGCUGGCCUGAGCUAACUGGCUGGCUGACUAACUGCCACCGAGGGAAGCUUCGUACUGCGUCAACGUGGGUCGGUCACCUGGAGAUAACUGUAAAAUGUCAUCGGCGAAUGUGUGUCAAGCAUGGACUUGACGACGCCGCCACCACCGCACACGGUGAUACUUGGCUGGCUGGCUGACUGAUUGACUGCCUGUGCCCGCCUGCCUGUCUGCCUGCCUGUUUCCUCUCUCUUGAGCUGCGUCCGCUUUGUCAAUUAUGCCGACGCAAUUCUGAUCCCGGUCCGGGAAGAAAAGCAGCCGCGUCUUCUGCACGGAUCGCCCGAGGUCAUUUGAAGCACACGAGGAAGAAACGCAAAGCAUCAUGGAGGGUGUGGAAGUAACAUUUUUAUUCCAGUUUGGUCUGACGCGUGACACAGUCACUGUCGAUAGUAGUACACUGACUCUCAAGGCCCUGAAAGAUCUUGCCUGUGAUUUUAUAAACACCAAAUGUCCGGAGCAUGGCUUAAAUCAUCUUUUUGAGAGAUUACUUCUAUUCAAGCAUGACUACAAUUCUACAAAUGUUCUACAGCUCAUCACAAAUGCUACAGAAGUAGUUGAUGAGACAUUAGUGGAAAUUGUUUUGACUGCACAAGUGCCAAGCGAAUAUGUUCCCAUUCGUCCUCACGCUUUAGCAGUACAUUCCUACAAGGUCCCGACAUUUUGCGAUUUCUGUGGUGAAAUGUUGUUUGGGCUUGUUCGACAAGGUCUCAAGUGUGAAGGCUGUGGCAUGAACUACCAUAAAAGAUGUGUCAUUAAAGUGCCGAACAACUGUUCGCAAGAUGGUAGUCAGCGAAGGCGCAGCUCGGCAAUGUUAAAUGUGCCAAGAUCGCCGAGUCAGGGCUCCACUAGCAGUCUGACCAGUAUCACUGAUGAUAAUCAUAGUUCAAAUAACACGCCUAACACAAGCCAAAAUAAUAGUACAUUGGCAAUACCAAGUAUAAUGGCACCGAAACAAUCUCCCACGCCGUCAUUAGGAGGACGACCAGUCUGGGUUGAGCGAGAGCUCGCGACGCGAAUAAAAAUCCCGCACACAUUCGUAGUACACACGUAUACUCGUCCGACUGUAUGUGGACACUGUAAAAAGUUGCUGAAGGGUAUAUUUAAGCAAGGCCUACAAUGUAAAGAUUGCCAAUACAAUACGCACAAAAAGUGUAUGGAUAAAAUACCAAAAGACUGUACUGGGGAAAAUCUACGAGACAAUAUAGGUGAAUAUCCAGAUAGCGGUGUCGGCAGCGAAUUAGAAGCCAAAUGUGAUAUCAGAAAUGAGGAGGUCGAUGUUGAUAGUGACACGGAAUCGUCGCCGCCGUCGCAAGACAUGUCGCUCACAAACGAUGAGAACAAAAUACCUAACGAUUACGCAGAUCAUGUUCAGAGUAACGAUGACAUUGCUUACGACGAGAAUCAGAAGUCCCGACCGUCAAGUUGUAGUUCCACGCCGAGUAACAACAUUCCAUUGAUGCGGAUAGUACAAAGCGUAAAACACACUAAAAGACGCGGUUCUAAAGUAUUGAAAGAAGGCUGGAUGGUGCACUUUACGCAUCGCGAUCCGAUCAGAAAGAAGCAUUAUUGGCGGCUCGACACAAAGUCUAUAACGCUAUUCCAAAGUGAAACUAGUUCGAAAUAUUACAAGGAGAUACCGUUGGCCGAGAUUACAGCGAUUGAAACCGCUAAGACGCCUCGUUCAUAUAUAAUGCAUUGCUUUGAGCUAAAAACUGCCAAUGUCGAUUACUAUGUUGGAGAGGAUCCAUCAUACGGACAGAAUUGUGGCCAAGUCUCUCCUCCAGAGAGCGGUAUUGGAGCUCAUAUAGCUAGAUCGUGGGAAACUACUAUUAGACAAGCACUUAUGCCUGUAACUGUGUCGACUAAUCAAGAAGAGUCCACCGAGCCGGAGGAAAACAUCACCGACAUGUCGCAGCUGUAUCAGAUCUUCCCGGACGAAGUGUUAGGUUCCGGCCAAUUCGGCAUAGUCUAUGGCGGCGUUCACCGCAAGACCGGUCGCGCGGUUGCCAUCAAGGUGAUCGACAAGCUACGCUUCCCCACGAAGCAAGAAGCUCAGUUGAAGAACGAGGUGGCGAUCCUGCAGAAUCUGUCGCACAGCGGCGUAGUGAAUCUCGAGCGCAUGUUCGAGACGCCGGAGCGAAUAUUCGUAGUGAUGGAGAAGCUGAAGGGCGACAUGCUGGAAAUGAUCCUGAACUCCGAGCGAGGACGACUUAGCGAGCGAAUCACCAAGUUCCUAAUCACGCAGAUUCUGGUGGCGUUGAAGCACUUGCACAGCAAGAACAUCGUGCAUUGCGACCUGAAGCCGGAGAACGUGCUGUUAAGCAGCGACGCGGAUUUUACACAGGUGAAGCUCUGCGACUUUGGGUUUGCACGGAUAAUCGGCGAGAAGAGUUUCCGCCGCAGCGUCGUCGGCACGCCAGCAUACCUCGCGCCGGAAGUGUUGCGAAACAAAGGCUACAAUCGCUCGUUGGAUAUGUGGAGCGUCGGCGUGAUUAUCUACGUGUCAUUAAGCGGUACGUUCCCAUUCAACGAGGAGGAGGACAUCAAUGAGCAGAUCCAGAAUGCCGCCUUCAUGUAUCCGCCAACACCAUGGAAGGAGAUUUCGAGCGACGCUAUUGACUUGAUCAACAACCUUCUGCAAGUCAAGCAGAGAAAGAGAUACAGCGUGGACAAGAGUCUGCAACAUGUGUGGCUACAAGAUUAUCAAACGUGGUGCGACCUGAGGAAGCUCGAAGCGAAGGUCGGCUAUCGCUAUUUAACUCACGAAAGUGACGACGCACGCUGGAUGGCGUACAGUAGUCAAGAGACAUGACAGAACUGUUCGGCUGCUCUGAACAUCGAGACGCUACCGACUUCUCUGUCGAUUCACAAAGGCUGGGCCCGAUGCGCUCGGGCCACUCUGCGACGGUUUAUUCGUGCCUGACUCCGUAAAAAAGGCCUUUGAUGAUAAAGUUACGUCGCAAAAAAGUGUUUACAAGUGGUACAAAGACUUCAAAGAAGACCGAGAACGAGUUCAAGACGAACAGCGCUCCGGACGACCAUCAACAUCUACCGAUGAAAGCCACGUCAAGGAAAUCAAACUGUUAACAAGGAAUAUUAUUUGAGUGUUAUGCGUCGUUUGCGUGAAGCUAUUCGCCUCAAGAAGCCAGAAUUAUGGGCAGACAAUUCUUGGUUUUUGCACCACGAUAAUGCAUCGUCCCACACUGCAUUGGUUCUUCGAAAACUUUUCGCCAAAAAUUCGACCCAUAUCAUUCCACAACCACCGUAUUCGUUUGAUUUAGCACCGUGCGACUUCUGGCUGUUCAACAAACUCAAAAGACCGCUCCGGGGACACCGUUUCGACUCGAUUGAGGAGAUAAAAGCCGAAUCGAAGAAAGUAUU